rnacentral:rRNA from 1 species
AGUGUGUAACAACUCACCUGCCGAAGCAACUAGCCCUGAAAAUGGAUGGCGCUUCAGCGUCGAGCCCAUACCCGGCCGUCGCGGCUGUAGGUACUUGUGCUUUAUGUCGCGACGAGUAGGAGGGCGCAGGGGUGUGCGUUGAAGGUGCCGGGCGCGAGCCCGUCUGGAGCCGCCCCUGGUGCAGAUCUUGGUGGUAGUAGCAAAUACUCAAGUGAGAACCUUGAGGACUGAGGUGGAGAAGGGUUCCAUGUGAACAGCAGUUGAACAUGGGUCAGUCGGUCCUAAGGGAUAGGAGAAAUCCGUUCCGAAGCGGGACCUUCCUCUUUUUAAUGUUGGUCCCGCCGCAGACCGAAAGGGAAUCGGGUUAAUAUUCCCGAACCCGGACAUGGAGAUCGACCCCUCACGGGGUCCAGUGCGGUAACGCAAACGAACUCGGAGACGUCGACGGGAGUCCCGGGAAGAGUUGUCUUUUCUUUGUAAGGGCUCGGCUCCCUGGAAUCGGCUCGCCCGGAGAUAGGGAUGCUGUACCCGUAAAGCACCGCGCCUCUUGCGGUGUCCGGAGCGCUCCCGUCGGCCCUUGAAAAUCCGAGCGAGAGGUUGUGAUUUUCGUGCCGGACCGUACCCAUAUCCGCAGCA